UGUUAAAAAUAUCAUCUAUUUGUACUAUUAAAAAUUAAUGUGGCUGAUGGAGUAACUGGACAGUGACACGUGGUGUGCCACGUGUACCUCAUGCUGACAUAUAGGGGCCAAUUUUUAACUGCAGAAAUGGAUGGAAUUUCUAACA
rfam:Gossypium raimondii Chr04_contig_1404, whole genome shotgun sequence.